rnacentral:lncRNA from 1 species
GGACCUAAAAAUUUUUUUCUCUAACUUUUAAAGAACCUAAAACUCCAUUUUAUUAUUUUGUUCUUUGGCACCACCUUGGUUAUUUUCACUACUUUGAUUUUGGUUGUUUAUAAUAAAAAAACUUCAAAGAAAAAUAAUUCACGACUUAAGAUCUUAUUCCAAUUUCCUUACUCUAUGUUCUAACAAGGAGAGUUUCAUCAGGUUGAACUCAGCUCGACUUUAUAUUUGAUUGAGACCUAAU